CAAGUUACUUUUAAGUAUGAGGAUUCUAUCCAAUGUCUUCUGACUUUAUAUUUGGAAAUGUGCAUGCAAGAACACUCACAAAGGGAGAGCAGUGAUAAAUGUGCUCAUUUGAGUUAGAGCCAAAUGCAGCACAGGCUACUGCUGUGGGCUUGUUAUUACAGGCUUGGCCUGACAUAUGAGCUGGAAAAU
rfam:Ochotona princeps cont2.159252, whole genome shotgun sequence.